UUUGUCUACCUGUCUGUCCUUUAC
rnacentral:piRNA from 1 species